CCUACUCCAACUACUCCUAGUCACCGCCGAAGCUCAUCUUCACUGCCGGUAAAGUUCCUUUUCUUUCUCUAUCUCUCUCAAGAUCUUUCUCUCUUGAAUUCUCGCACUAGAUCGUGAUCAAUUCAUCCAUCCAGUCAAACAACAAAUGUUUUGUGGAGUUGGAAAUUUGAGAAUAGAAGAUAUAGUGAAGAAUUCGAUAGAGAAGGAGAGAGAUAGAGAAGGAACUUUGCGGUCAGUGAGGAUGAGCUUCGGCGGUGACUGGGGUGGUUGGAAUCUU
rnacentral:pre_miRNA from 1 species